rnacentral:rRNA from 1 species
GCACAACGCGAAGAACCUUACCAAGGCUUGACAUCCCCUUGAUCGGCACAGAGAUGUGCCCUCUCCUUCGGGAGCAAGGGUGACAGGUGGUGCAUGGUUGUCGUCAGCUCGUGUCGUGAGAUGUUGGGUUAAGUCCCGCAACGAGCGCAACCCUUAUCCUUAGUUGCCAGCAGGUAAAGCUGGGCACUCUAAGGAGACUGCCGAUGAUAAAUCGGAGGAAGGUGGGGAUGACGUCAAAUCAUCAUGCCCCUUAUGUCUUGGGCUACACACGUGCUACAAUGGUCGGUACAAAGGGGAGCGAAGGAGUGAUCUGGAGCAAAUCCCAAUAAACCGAUCUCAGUUCGGAUUGUAGGCUGCAACUCGCCUACAUGAAGUCGGAGUUGCUAGUAAUCGCGAAUCAGAACGUCGCGGUGAAUGCGUUCCCGGGUCUUGUACACACCG